rnacentral:rRNA from 1 species
UACGUAGGUGGCGAGCGUUGUCCGGAUUUACUGGGCGUAAAGGGAGCGUAGGCGGACUUUUAAGUGAGAUGUGAAAUACCCGGGCUUAACUUGGGUGCUGCAUUUCAAACUGGAAGUCUAGAGUGCAGGAGAGGAGAAUGGAAUUCCUAGUGUAGCGGUGAAAUGCGUAGAGAUUAGGAAGAACACCAGUGGCGAAGGCGAUUCUCUGGACUGUAACUGACGCUGAGGCUCGAAAGUGUGGGGAACAAACAGGAUUAGAUACCCUGGUAGU